rnacentral:tRNA from 1 species
GCCGAGGUAGCUCAGCCUGGUUAGAGCGCCAGACUCAUAAUCUGGAGGUCGCGGGUUCAAAAACUACAGCCCUUAAACA